GACGAACCGUGCGAACGUUAUUCGGAAUCACUGGGCUUAAAGCGCGUGUAGGCGGGACGGCACGUCGGUCGCUGAAAUCCCCCGGCUUAACCGGGGAACUGGCGUCGAUACGACCGUCCUGGAGGGGCGUAGGGGGACCUGGAACUUCCGGUGGAGCGGUGAAAUGCGUUGAGAUCGGAAGGAACGCCCGUGGCGAAAGCGGCGACCUGGACGGACAUUGACGCUGAGACGCGAAAGCGUGGGGAGCAAACAGG
rnacentral:rRNA from 1 species